rnacentral:piRNA from 1 species
UGCACUGUUGGAGCAACUGUAAUUUCAAUUU